rnacentral:rRNA from 1 species
AACUGCUGGACAAGGAGUGUUCUGUUGAGCUCAUUUUCACACGAUGAACAACUGGCUUAGAACUGAUUCGGGCAAGGGGAAUCCGACUGUUUAAUUGAAACAAAGCAUUGCGAGGGCCUCAAAGGGUGGUGCCACAAUGUGAUUUCUGCCCAGUGCUCUGAAUGUCAAAGUGAGGAAAUUCAACUAAGCGCGGGUAAACGGCGGGAGUAACUAUGACUCUCUUAAGGUAGCCAAAUGCCUCGUCAUCCAAUUAGUGACGCGCAUGAAUGGAUUAAUGAGAUUCCCACUGUCCCCAUCUACUGUCCAGCGAAACCACAGCCAAGGGAACGGGCUUGGGUAAAUCAGCGGGGAAAGAAGACCCUGUUGAGCUUGACUCUAAUCUGACUUUGUGAAAUGACUUAGGAGGUGUAGGAUAUGUGGGAGCUCUGGUGAUCUUGAAAUACCACUACUCUUAAUGUCACUUUACUUACUCUAUCAGACUGUGGCCUGCUUCCCAGCAGGUUUUUGUUUCAAGGCAUCUCAUCUGACUUGUUGACUUGCGUAGAGGACGUAAUCAGGUGGGCAGUUUGGCUGGGGCGGCACAUCUGUUAAAGGAUAACGCAGGUGUCCCAAGGUAAGCUCAAGGAGAACAGAAAUCUCAUGUGGAUCACAAGGGGAAAUGCUUGCUUGAUUUUGCUUUUCAGUGUGAAGACAAACUGUGCAAACAUGGCCUAUCGAUCCUUUGG